rnacentral:tRNA from 1 species
GGCUUGCUGGUAUAGUGGUAUGAUUCCCGCUUUGGGUGCGAGAGGUCACGGGUUCGAUUCCCGUGCAAGCCC